rnacentral:lncRNA from 1 species
GGCCUUCUCGAUCUCCGUGGCCUGUAGGUGGAAAGCCAUGUACUGCAGCCAAAGGAUGGAGCUGUUGGGAGAGCUUAGCACCAGCCGGUCAAAGUCAUCCGCAGACUCUGGCUGUCGCCCAGGGUCCAUGAGUGCCUCCUCAAUGCGCGACAGCUCCUUCUCUGCCUUCUGCUUCUCCAGCUCCCUCUCCUUCUUGCCCUUCUUCUUCUGUGGCGGAAGGAAGAGAAGUGAGUCACUGCUCCUUCAAGUGCAGAGGGAGCUGAGGUAGAAGCCAUGGGUCCACAGGACAGUCCACGGACCCUCCCCAGGGAGACACCUAAGCCACAGAGGGCGUCAGAGUUGGGAAUUGGAGUUUCUGCAAGAGUUGCAGUGUCCUGGAAACACAGCACCUUAGCUUGGUGCGGCUGCUCAUCCUCGCUGUCUGAGCUCUCUUCUCGGAGUGGCAAGGCUGGAGUCAGAGAGUCAAGCCCCACAUCCCAAAGGAAGCCUGAAGAGAGAUGCAGCCGGGGCACCUCUGUGGAUUUUGUCUGCUUCCCCUGCAGGGUCAGAAAAUUCAAGGAAGCACAAGUCAGGUUGUUCCCUGACCCCACCAGCCCCCACACCAAAGGCCUGCCUCCUUGGUCUGCUGAGGGAACAGCAGUGACUUGAAAAUACUCUAAGUCACUUAGACAACGUCUUUAUAUAAAGUGUAAGCACGCGCGCGCGCGCGCGCGCACACACACACACACACACACACACACACACACACACACACACACACACACAGUAGGAGGUAUUGAACAGAGCUACAGAGGUGGCAGGGAUUGGCAAAAGAGGAAGCGCUGGCCCUGGCUGAGAUUCCCGAGUCCUCUCCACUGCUUGCACUUGUGAGGAGCGUGGGCUCAUCCAGGUUGUGCCCUCUCUUUAUCUGCCCACCUCCUUCAUUCAGUUCUUGAUAAACAUGUUAUUAGCGUUAACAGACCCAGUCCUCAAGGAGGUAGACUGUGAGGUAACCACGCCCCAUCCAUCACCCACUCUUUUAUAGAGAACAGGAUGGGCUGAACAGCUCAGCCCUGGGAAGACAAGGAGCUCUUCCCCAAAGCCUUUCCCCCACUCGGCUGGCGGCGCGCCUUACCCUGGGUGGCAGCUUCGGCUCCCCCACCUCAUCCUCUCCUUCCCGGUAGUACACUUCCACACCACUGUCGUCUUCUUCUGCGGCUCCAGACUUCUUUGGCCUCUUGUUCACUAGUUCCUGAAAUGGUGGGGGUGUGGGAUGGGAAGUUUCUCCUCGCCCUCACAGUGCCUCCUCAGAGAAGGCUGGGCAGCUGCAGCUCACUUCUCAAACACUGAUGGGUGAGAUGAGGCAGGAUGCUGCCCGGGGAGGGGGACUCACCUGCUCGCUCUCAGACUCCUGGCGCUCCCGCUUGCCUCGCCCACCCCUCUGUGACUUCUGGGGCUCUUCCUUCUCCUCCCGUCUCUUCUGGUUCUUCUCUUUCCUUUUCUGGCCCUCCUCAGCCCCUCCGCUCCUCUCCUCUUGUUUUGGUUCUGGAGCAGGAGAGAACACGUCUGGCCUCCCAGUGUCGCUGGGAAGGAGCGACAGCUCUAUCAGGUUCUUCAUGGGGUUCACGCUGAGGUAGGAGGAGAAGAGGCAGAGAGUAAGGGCAGAGGUGUCUGGGCACCACAGGCGAGCAGACCUUGCCUCGUCAGCACUUAGGCCAUCUUUCCUUGUCAGUCAGGGCUGGGCCCCGGCCCACCUGCCUUAGAUGCUCAGUAUUCUCAGGGACAGUUUACACAUGUCCCCUGCUCAGUGGAAAAAGCCAGGGAGCAUCUAGGAUGGACAUGCUUGAUCAACAAUAACAGAAGCCAUGUCUACUCCUGGACUAAGGCUGGAACUGAGGUCAAAGGCUUCAAUCGAAGGUUUGUCACCCAUCUGAACACUACUUGCAUCAUCUCCCCAUGCCUUUAUGUUCUGAGUUUACCUCAAACCCUCCUCCCAGGGCAGGGCUCUCAGCGAAAGGGGUCUGAUUCACACAAAGGAAGAGGGACCAAGAGGGCAGGGAGAGAAGACACCUACCGCAGGACCUUGGCAGUGACCAGCUUUCCCUCAGGGAGGCAUCCGUUAUAAAGCUCUUUCUCUGGUGGGACACACUCAGAGACAUGUGAAUACUUGGCCAAACCCAGAACUGAAGGUCCAAGGCUGAAAAGAGACAGACAAGAACUCUGUAGUACAAAUACAACACAAUCCCUCCAUACCCCCAGUGCCUCAAACUUUGAUAGGUUAUGAGACAAUGGAUCGUGGCAUCCAGGAGGAUAAAGUUGGUUUUGGAAACUGGAAACAAAUUAUCAUAUAAAU